rnacentral:tRNA from 1 species
GUCAGGAUGCCGAGCGGGUCUAAGGCGCCAGAGCUUCGAAGGUUGAGUUACCUUAUCUCGUAAUAGAGAUGAUCUAUGGGUGUUCUGGUCUCUGUAUGGAGGCGUGGGUUCGAAUCCCACUUCUGACA